rnacentral:rRNA from 1 species
CCAGACUCCUACGGGAGGCAGCAGUGGGGAAUAUUGCACAAUGGGGGAAACCCUGAUGCAGCGACGCCGCGUGAGCGAAGAAGUAUCUCGGUAUGUAAAGCUCUAUCAGCAGGGAAGAAAAUGACGGUACCUGACUAAGAAGCCCCGGCUAACUACGUGCCAGCAGCCGCGGUAAUACGUAGGGGGCAAGCGUUAUCCGGAUUUACUGGGUGUAAAGGGAGCGCAGGCGGCGCGGUAAGUCUGAUGUGAAAGCCCGGGGCUCAACCCCGGGACUGCAUUGGAAACUGUGCAGCUAGAGUGCAGGAGAGGUAAGUGGAAUUCCUAGUGUAGCGGUGAAAUGCGUAGAUAUUAGGAGGAACACCAGUGGCGAAGGCGGCUUACUGGACUGUAACUGACGUUGAGGCUCGAAAGCGUGGGGAGCAAACAGGAUUAGAUACCCUGGUAAAC